rnacentral:snoRNA from 1 species
UCGCAGUUGAUGAACUUAACCGAAAUCCAUCGCUGAGUGCCUCUGUGAGGAAUUUCGAAAACGAGCUUUUUAAUCCUGAUGUGAG